GACGAACGCUGGCGGCGUGCUUAACGCAUGCAAGUCGAACGGAAAGGCCCUGCUUUUGUGGGGUGCUCGAGUGGCGAACGGGUGAGUAACACGUGAGUAACCUGCCCUUGACUUUGGGAUAACUUCAGGAAACUGGGGCUAAUACCGGAUAGGAGCUCCUGCUGCAUGGUGGGGGUUGGAAAGUUUCGGCGGUUGGGGAUGGACUCGCGGCUUAUCAGCUUGUUGGUGGGGUAGUGGCUUACCAAGGCUUUGACGGGUAGCCGGCCUGAGAGGGUGACCGGCCACAUUGGGACUGAGAUACGGCCCAGACUCCUACGGGAGGCAGCAGUGGGGAAUAUUGCACAAUGGGCGGAAGCCUGACGCAGCAACGCCGCGUGCGGGAUGACGGCCUUCGGGUUGUAAACCGCUUUCGCCUGUGACGAAGCGUGAGUGACGGUAAUGGGUAAAGAAGCACCGGCUAACUACGUG
rnacentral:rRNA from 1 species